rnacentral:rRNA from 1 species
UACGGAGGGUGCGAGCGUUGUCCGGAAUCACUGGGCGUAAAGGGCGCGUAGGUGGCUCGUGAAGCGUGCGGUGAAAGUCCGAGGCUCAACCUCGGAUCGGCCGUGCGGACUCGCGGGCUGGAGCGUUGUAGAGGCGGGUGGAAUUCCGGGUGUAGCGGUGGAAUGCGUAGAGAUCCGGAAGAACACCGGUGGCGAAGGCGG